rnacentral:lncRNA from 1 species
CAUCCCUCAGGAGGGGCUUUGAGUUACUUCAUGGAUGGGUCCCGGGCAAAAUGACCCUAGCAGGACCUAAGGAACAGGCUUGCAAACCUGCAGAUCUCUGGCCCUCACCUACCCGAAGCGCCUGAUAACGUAAAGUCUGCAGCCACCCAGGCUUGGGGCGCAAGUGACCCGGAGAGUUUUGAAGUCCUCUGCUUCGGAAAGCGCGCAUCAGUGAGCGGGCUCUUCCGCGGAGCCAAAUAGGCCCGGAUUCCCACCAUGUCACGAUGGAGCCCAGGACGCUUCCUCUCUGUGGUUCAGUCCAGACACGGGGCUCGCAAGGCCUGCCGGGACGGCCGGACUUCCGGACUUCCGGUCCUCGCUGAGGCAGACCCUUAAGCCACCAGUCAUUUAUAAAGAGCCAAUGAAAGACAAAGAUAUAAUUACCAGCUUGUGUGAAGACAUGCCUUUCUCCUUCCGUUCUUGUUUAAAGUUAGCUGAACCAAUGCCACUUUCAAAUGCACAGAUUAUUCCCAUUCAAAAGGCUACAAAUUCAUGA